UACGUAGGGUGCAAGCGUUGUCCGGAAUUAUUGGGCGUAAAGAGCUCGUAGGCGGCUUGUCACGUCGGAUGUGAAAGCCCGAGGCUUAACCUCGGGUCUGCAUUCGAUACGGGCUAGCUAGAGUGUGGUAGGGGAGAUCGGAAUUCCUGGUGUAGCGGUGAAAUGCGCAGAUAUCAGGAGGAACACCGGUGGCGAAGGCGGGUCUCUGGGCAAUAACUGACGCUGAGGAGCGAAAGCGUGGGGAGCGAACAGG
rnacentral:rRNA from 1 species